rnacentral:rRNA from 1 species
AGCGAACGCUGGCGGCAGGCCUAACACAUGCAAGUCGAACGGUAACGCGGGGGCAACCCUGGCGACGAGUGGCGAACGGGUGAGUAAUACAUCGGAACGUACCUGGUAGUGGGGGAUAGCCCGGCGAAAGCCGGAUUAAUACCGCAUACGCACCACGGUGGAAAGCGGGGGACCGCAAGGCCUCGCGCUAUCAGAGCGGCCGAUGGCAGAUUAGCUAGUUGGUGGGGUAAAAGCCUACCAAGGCGACGAUCUGUAGCUGGUCUGAGAGGACGACCAGCCAGACUGGGACUGAGACACGGCCCAGACUCCUACGGGAGGCAGCAGUGGGGAAUUUGGGACAAUGGGGGAAACCCUGAUCCAGCGAUGCCGCGUGUGUGAAGAAGGCCUUCGGGUUGUAAAGCACUUUUGUUCGGGAAGAAAUCUGUCGGGCUAAUACCCUGGCGGGAUGACGGUACCGGAAGAAUAAGCACCGGCUAACUACGUGCCAGCAGCCGCGGUAA